AUGUCUGAUCAGGAGGCAAAACCAUCAAUUGGGGACUUGAGGAAUAAGAAGGUGAAUACAUUAAACUCAAAGUCACUGGACAGGAUAGCAGUGAGAUUCACUUCAAAGUGAAAAUGACAGCACAUCUCAAGACACUCAAAGAAUCAUACUGGCAAAGACAGGGCGUUCCAAUGAAUUCACUCAGGUUUCUCUUUGAAGGUCAGAGAACUGCUGAUAAUCACACCCCAAAAGAAUUGGGAAUGGAAGAAGAAGACGUGAUUGAAGCUUAUCAGGAACAAACGGAGUCAUUCCAUGGCUUAGAUAUUCUUUUUGUUCUUUUUCUUUUCCCUCAAUCCUUUUUUAUUUUUUAAAAAUAGUUCUUUUGUAAUGUGGUGCUCAAAAUGAAAAU